GACGAACGCUGGCGGCGUGCUUAACACAUGCAAGUCGAACGGAAAGGCCCUGCUUUUGUGGGGUGCUCGAGUGGCGAACGGGUGAGUAACACGUGAGUAACCUGCCCUUGACUUUGGGAUAACUUCAGGAAACUGGGGCUAAUACCGGAUAGGAGCUCCUGCUGCAUGGUGGGGGUUGGAAAGUUUCGGCGGUUGGGGAUGGACUCGCGGCUUAUCAGCUUGUUGGUGGGGUAGUGGCUUACCAAGGCUUUGACGGGUAGCCGGCCUGAGAGGGUGACCGGCGAGAUUGGGAAAGAAAGAGGGGCCGGAGGCGUACGGGAGGAAGCAGGGGGGAAGGGGGAACAGUGGGCGGAAGCGUGAUGCAGCAACGCCGCGUGCGGGAGGAGGGACGUCGGGUUGGAAAAAGCUGGCGCCGGUGAAGAAGCGUGAGUGACGGGAAUGGGUAAAGAAGCACCGGCUAAAUACGUG
rnacentral:rRNA from 1 species